GAUGAACGCUAGCCACAGGCUUAACACAUGCAAGUCGAGGGGUAGCAGGGUAGCAAUACCGCUGACGACCGGCGCACGGGUGAGUAACACGUAUCCAACCUUCCCAUAACUCAGGGAUAGCCUUUCGAAAGAAAGAUUAUUACCUGAUAGUACUUAAGAAAGGCAUCUUUUUUAAGUUAAAGAUUUAUUGGUUAUGGAUGGGGAUGCGUUCCAUUAGAUAGUUGGUGAGGUAACGGCUCACCAAGUCUUCGAUGGAUAGGGGUUCUGAGAGGAAGGUCCCCCACAUUGGUACUGAGACACGGACCAAACUCCUACGGGAGGCAGCAGUGAGGAAUAUUGGUCAAUGGGCGAGAGCCUGAACCAGCCAAGUAGCGUGAAGGAUGAAGGUCCUAUGGAUUGUAAACUUCUUUUAUAGUAGAAUAAAGUGAGCCACGUGUGGUUUUUUGUAUGUAUACUAUGAAUAAGGAUCGGCUAACUCCGUGCCAGCAGCCGCCGUAA
rnacentral:rRNA from 1 species